CAGGAUUAGUAUGUGCAUAGACACAGAAUAAUGUGCAGACACACAAAUCACUGCUUUCCUAUGGACUUCUUCUUCUGGCACUGAUUUUGUUGCUGUUGUUGGACACAUGCAUUAUAAAUUAAAGACAGAAAAGGCCUCUCUGCAUUUGAUCUUGUAUGCUGAAUACUGAGAAAGAUACUUCUGCAUGAAACAGGAUUUCUAUUGAACAUUCGUGGAAAAAUGCUGUAUGCAUCACGCCCGGUUCAAGGAGAAAGUGAUGUUCUAAACAGAUGACACCCAGUUCCUGGUGCAAAGGGUACUCCUCUGACUGAAAGAUAUCAGCUGAAAGGAAAUAAUUCAUCCUGGAUGACAAAAUGGUUUAUAAAUUGCAUCCUAAUAAAACAUUGCUCCAAACUCACAAAUUGCAGAGAUUGAAGUGACCCUGUAUGCACAGUGAUUUGCAUGAUAUUCAUUGUGUUAAGGUUGAAAACAACAUUAACAUCUUUACUUUAAAACGAACAGAUUUAUUCUAAAUUGCACUAAUAAAAUGUAUUGUUAGCAAACAAAGGUCAGUGGAAACCAUAGCACACAGAAUAUGCAGAAAAAUAACAGAGUUUGAGAAAGAAAAAGAUCAAAUCUACUGGCAUAGCACAAGUGGCUCAUCAGAACAUCAUUCUAACAAAUGAAAUCUAAACAAAUGAAAUUAUAUAACCAAAAGCAUAGUCAUCUAUUAUGCUCAGUAUUAAAGCAAAACAGUACUUAAGGAAAGCGAUGCAGAACAAAAUUAUAUUAGUUUCCUGGAUCACCUUCAAUGAUAUGAAAUUUAAAUUAUGAUGUUUCUGUGCUCAUCCUCUUGUCUUCUUGCAAAUUUUAAACCUGUAAUUUGAAUGCAAAAAUUCUACCAAAUUAAAAUACAAUUGCUACCUCUUCUUUACAGCAUGAUCAUCUAAUUCUGAUGCCUUUGCAUCUUAUUUUGUUGUUUUUAGAACUGACCUGCAAUGUUAAUAAUUCAAGAAAGACUGAGACUCCAAGGCAUUUUGUUAUGACACAGCUUUGGUCUUAGCUAUUGCAUCCAGAAUUUGUAAUAGAUUUUUAAGCCUCUGUGUCGUAAGGAAAAUAUGACCCUCUCACCAAUUAAAACACACACACACACUCUCAGAAUCACACAAAUAGACAAGGAGUCAAAGACAACAUAUGAUUCUAUGAAUAAUAAGUUAAAUAUUCUGGAUAUUUACAUAUUUACAGCCAUAUACAUACAGUUAAAACUGCUCUCUAUAAGGAAUCCUAAACUGUCCCUAAAAAUAUCAUCCAAAGAUACCAUCAACAGCACAUUUAUCAAAUGAAGAUAUUUUGUGCAGAUUAUCUGGAUGUACAAAGUUCUUGUAGCUAGUAUACUGAAUAAAUGAACUUUCGGGGGGGGGGGGAGGACAUUCAGUGAGCCAGUUUUUCCUCUACCGGUGAAGCAGUAAAAAGCUAGAUGGCUGUUUUUCUCUGUCUGUCUCAAAUGUAUUUAUCCUACUCUUGCACUUAUGUAAACAUCCUGCAUAUUAAUGUUUACUUUUAAACACAGUCCUUAAAAAGGCUUGAUUUAAGUACCCAACAUAAGCUUGCAUUGCACACUCGUGGAGAAAAGAAUAGAGUGAAAACAGAACACGUAAGGAAGUCAAUGCAUGAACAGUCUACAAAACGCACUGUAAAAUCAGAGAUACAGUGGCAUUUUGAAAAUAGUAGAUCUCUGUUAGGGUAAUCAAUUUAAACUCAAUGAUAAUCAUAUAAAAUAUGUGUGAAAGACAAAACUGCUUUUCUCUUUUGUCUCAAAGCUUGCUUCGUGAGGCCUUUCUGGUGAUAAGACUAACUGAUAACUGCAAAUUAUCUAGGGGGGCGAGUGGUGGGUGUCACUGUGCCACAGUACUUCUGCUCAUGAUUGUAAAGAUAAGCAGAAGUGGGACAAGCAGUCUUUUUUG
ensembl:lncRNA